UGGGGAAUAUUGCACAAUGGGCGCAAGCCUGAUGCAGCCAUGCCGCGUGUAUGAAGAAGGCCUUCGGGUUGUAAAGUACUUUCAGCGGGGAGGAAGGUGGUAAGGUUAAUAACCUUAUCAAUUGACGUUACCGACAGAAGAAGCACCGGCUAACUCCGUGCCAGCAGCCGCGGUAAUACGGAGGGUGCAAGCGUUAAUCGGAAUUACUGGGCGUAAAGCGCACGCAGGCGGUUUGUUAAGUCAGAUGUGAAAUCCCCGGGCUCAACCUGGGAACUGCAUCUGAUACUGGCAAGCUUGAGUCUCGUAGAGGGGGGUAGAAUUCCAGGUGUAGCGGUGAAAUGCGUAGAGAUGUGGAGGAAUACCGGUGGCGAAGGCGGCCCCCUGGACAAAGACUGACGCUCAGGUGCGAAAGCGUGGGGAGCAAACAGG
rnacentral:rRNA from 1 species